rnacentral:rRNA from 1 species
UAAUACGUAGGGGGCGAGCGUUGUCCGGAAUUACUGGGCGUAAAGGGCGCGUAGGCGGCCUUUUAAGUCAGGCGUGAAACCCCCGGGCUUAACCUGGGGCAUGCGCAUGAGACUGGAAGGCUUGAGUGCAGGAGAGGAAAGCGGAAUUCCUAGUGUAGCGGUGAAAUGCGUAGAUAUUAGGAGGAACACCAGUGGCGAAGGCGGCUUUCUGGACUGUAACUGACGCUGAGGCGCGAAAGCGUGGGGAGCAAACAGG